AUGAAGUCGGAAUUGCUAGUAAUCGCGGAUCAGCAUGCCGCGGUGAAUACGUUCCCGGGCCUUGUACACACCGCCCGUCACACCAUGAGAGCCGGUAACACCCGAAGUCAGUAGUCUAACCGCAAGGGGACGCUGCCGAAGGUGGGGCUGGUGAUUGGGGUGAAGUCGUAACAAGGUAAC
rnacentral:rRNA from 1 species